rnacentral:misc_RNA from 1 species
GUGAAUCAUCGAAUUUUUGAACGCAAAUUGCACUCCCUGGUAUUCCGGAGAGUAUGCCUGUUUCAGGGUCAGUUUAAAUAAAAAUAAGUUUGGUUGCUUCCUGUCGUGGUGACUCGCCGGAUUUGGAUCUUUGUGCCUUCGGUUAUGCUACCUAGAUUUUUUCAUGAUUUUUUUCGAACGUAUUUAAGUUAUUCUACUUACGUUG